rnacentral:rRNA from 1 species
CCCUUUAAAGAGUGCGUAAUAGCUCACUAGUCGAGUGCUCUUGCGCGGAUAAUGUACCGGGGCUAAGCAUAUUACCGAAACUGUGGAUGCGUAAGCAUGGUAGGAUAGCGUAAUUAACGCGAUGAAGGAUGACCGUAAGGACAUGUUGGAGCGUUAACUAGUGAGAAUUCCGGUAUGAGUAGCGAAAGAUAGGUGAGAAUCCUAUCCACCGAAUGAGUAAGGUUUCCCCCGGAAGGCUCGUCCGCGGGGGGUUAGUCGGGACCUAAGGCGAGGCUGAAAAGCGUAGUCGAUGGACAACAGGUUGAUAUUCCUGUACCGAUAUUUAAUUGCCGAAGGAAGGACGCAGAAGGAUAACACAGGCCACUAUUGGAUGUGGUUUUAAACAGUUAGUCUUCAUAAGAGUCAAAUGCUUUUAUGUUUAAGGAUAAGCUGUGAAUGUACCAAGUUUACUUGGAAAUUGUGUGAUUUCACGCUGCUGAAAAAAGUUUCGUAGGAAGAAAAUAUUGCCCGUACCGCAAACCGACACAGGUACUCGAGUGGAGAACACUAAGGUGAGCGAGUGAACUAUUGUUAAGGAACUCUGCAAAAUGAGUCCGUAACUUCGGAAGAAGGACUGCUGGUUUUAUACCAGCCGCAGCAAAUAGGCCCAAACAACUGUUUAUCAAAAACACAGGUUUCUGCAAAAUCGUAAGAUGAAGUA